GAAAUGAUUUAAAAAACAUUAAAAAAGACAAUUACCAGAAUCAAAUUUUAUUCUUGACAAGAAGUUUGAACUGACAGAUUUAUGAAUCUGACCCACACAAACUGUUGCCCCGCAACAUUGAUUACAGUGCGAGUCGGGUCGGGUUAGGUAGGCUCAGGUUGCUAAAAUGGGCGUGGAAAAAUGCCCAUGAUCCCCUCCAUUGCGUACUACACGUCAGUCCAUUGCAUUUAGCAGGAGUAGCCUAUCUUGCUUCGCUAUAAGAUCUUUGAUUCCCUUCGCUAGUGCUGCCUGACCCACUGAGGUACUCCAGCACAUUUGUAGAUUUAUGCUUUUCCAAGUCUGGCUUGGCUGCAUUUCAAAACCCCACCUAACCAACAGCACACGGCUUGAGAGACAGUUUCUACCUCUCCCGCGAACACGAGGCAGAGACAUAAAAAUCAAAGCCACCUCCUCGACUCUUGGGAAAGGGAUCUUCAACUGCAAAAAGCCAUGAUUAUUUUAUUCCGAUGCAACAUUGAUACUUUGACAAGGAGAGCAGCACAAAAGAAUGUAGAUAAUGCAAGCCACAAUGAACGGGUGCCAAUGGAAUGUGGAAAGUCUGGUUCCUGUGAAACAAUGCAGAGUCCCUCAACAUCUCCAGGAUGCAUCAGAGCAGUGUUUGGGAACAGCUCCCUCUUGGACCGCAAGAACUUGCAGAGAAUCGUGGAUACAGCCCAGACCACCAUGCAAACCAACCUCCCUUCCAUUGACUCCUCACCCUGCCUCGGCAAGGCCAGCAGCAUCAUCAAGGACGAGUCGCAACCCGGUCACUCCCUCUUUUCCCCUCUCUCAUCAGGCAAGCGAUACUGAGGUGUGGAAAUCAAAGAUCUUAGAGCACACCUCCACAUUCAAGGGUAGUUUCUUCCUAGCUAUUAUCAGGCAAAUGAACCAUCCUACCAACAAUGAGUGGGCAAUCCUGAGCUUCUAUCGACCUCAUCAGAGACCCUUGGACUAUCUUUAUUUGGACUUUACUGGACUUUAUGUUGCACUAAACAUUACUCACUUUAUUACGUAUCGGUACACUGUGGAUGGAUCGAUUGUAAUCAUGUAUAAUCAUUCCGCUGACUUGUUAGCAUGCAACAACAAAGCUGUUCACCGUACCUCGACAUACGUGACAAUAAACUAAACUAAAUUAAACUAAACAAAAGCUGCAGCAAGUAAGAAUUUCAUUGUUUUAUUCCAAAUACAUAUCACGAUUAAAUACUCUUGAAGAUAUUUGGAGAGGUACUCUUAAAGAUUGGACUUUUUUGCCUUCCACCACAGUGAGGAAUGUGGGGAAUCCGCUGUCGUGGAUGUUUAUGUUAACUUUUGUGUAUUUGUGUAUCUUGUUGCUUUUUUUGUCCAUAUGGCAGUAUGGCGAUUGGCAUAUCACUGUACCUUAAUUGGUAUAUGUGACAAUAAAAUACCUUUGAAACCUUUGAUACUCUGCCACAGCUACAGCAGCUAUUUCCACUAGUCUCACUCAUGAGCUUCUGAUGCUGCCUGACCCACUGAGUUACUCCGGCAUAGUGUGUCCUUUUGUGUAUUCACCAGCACCUGCAGUGUAGUUUAGUUUAGCUUAGAGAUACAAUGCGGAAACAGGUCCUACGGCCCACCGAGUCCGCCCUGACAAGCGAUCUCCGCUCACUCACACCAUCCAAUACACACUGGGACAAUUUAUAAUUUUACCAAAGGCAAAGAACCUACAAACCUGUACGUCUUUGGAGCGUGGGAGGAAACCAGAGAGCCCAGAGAAAAACCACGCAGGUCAUGGGGAGAACGUAUACAAUCCGUACAGACAAGCAACCGUGGUCAGGAUUGAACCCGGGUUUCUGGCGCUGUAAGGCAGUAACUCUACCACUAUGUUCCUUGUUUCUACAUUUGAGCUGCUGAUUCUGCUUUGGGGCUCCAGAAAAACUGCCUGAUUUGCUGAGUACUUUCCUGUUUCCAUUUACAAUUUCCAGCAUAUGCAGAGGGUGGUGGGAUUAUGGAAUGAGCUGCUGGUGGAAGUGUAGAGCCGGUGCAAUGACAAUGUUCAAAAGGCAAAGAUAGGCACAAAGUGCUGGAGUAACUCAGCAGGUUAGUCAGCAUCUCGGGAGUAAAAGGAGGGGUGACGUUUCGGGUUGGAACUACUGUACAUAAUAUUUAAAAGGUAUUUGGAGAGGUAUAUGGAUUGGAAAAGUUCAGUAGGAAAUGGGCAAUACGCGGGCAAAUGGGACUAGAAGGCAGUCGGGCAUCAUAGAUGAGUUGGGCCGAAGGGCUUGUUUCUGUGCUGUAUAAUAGCCCUGUCCCAUGGUACGAGGUCAUUUCAAGAGCUCUCCCGAGUUCUAAAAAAAUCAAACUCGUGGUAAGCACGGAGAAUGAACGUAGCGUGGACGUCAGAGCUCGGGGACGUCUCUUAGCGGCUUGUAACGCUAACAGCAGGUACUCGGGAAGACUCGCUAACUGGCAGGUAAACACGGGAAGACUCGUGAAGAUUUUUCAUGUUGAAAAAUGUCCACGAGAGCCCCGAGUACCAACGAGUGGCCAUUACCAUAAAUCUCCGAGUUCGAAUCAGGGCAACCUCGGGAGAACUCUUGGAAUGAACUCGUACAGUGGGACAGGGCUUUAACUCUGACUCCUUCACCACAGAUGCGUGAAUUGUACAUUUAGUCCAUUCUUUUCAAUUGCACUGCAUGUGUGAAUCCAUUACACAUAAACAUCACAUGCUUACAGCUGCAAUACACCAUGAAGCAGAGAGUGGUAAAUAAUGGGGAAAAUAUGUCUGCUUCACGUGGACUAUAUUGGGGGCAGGGAAUGUCUGCCUUUAAUAACAGUGGGAGAUUUCAGCUAGUGUGAGAGUAAGUUUGCUUUUAUUUGCCAGUAAUGCUUGUCCUACUUAAACCUAUGUGUUUUUUUUUCCUGCAGACAUGUUUACAGUGCAGGGUAUGGUCCUCCCCUCCCUCUCCCUGACCCCAUAUAUCUUAGUUUAGAUGAAUUAUUGUCACGUGUGUAGUGAGGUACAGCGAAUAGCUUUUGUUUGCCUACUGGCCGAUUAAAUCAGACACUGCUGUACAUGAAUGCAUUCAAGCUAAAUCAAGUACAGAAGGUGGGGUGAAGAGAACGAUAUGGUGCAGAAUAUGGUUUCUCCUGAUUGUAGCAGAACAGUUCCUGAGAAAAAAAACUCCUUUGUCCACAUUAGAUACUGUAUGAUGAAAAAUCGGUAUUGUAAAUCAGAUUUCUCUACCUCAGGGUGGAAUUCUCUGCCUCAGAGGGCGGUUGAGGCAGGUUCUCUGGAUGCUUUCAAGAGAGAGCUAGAUAGGGCUCUUAAAAAUAGUGGAGUCAGGAGAUAUGGGGAGAAGGCAGGAACGGGGUACUGAUUGGGGAUGAUCAGUCAUGAUCACAUUGAAGGGCCAAAUGGCCUACUCCUGCACCUAUUGUGUAUUGUCUAUUGUCUAUUG